AGAGUUGAUCCUGGCUCAGAGCGAACGUAACGGCGGGCCUAACACAUGCAAGUCGAGCGAGAAAGGGGCUUCGGCCCUGAGUAAAGCGGCGGACGGGUGAGUAACACGUAGGUAUCUUCCCUUGAGCGGGGGACAACGAGCCGAGAGGCUUCGCUAAUACCGCAUAAGUUUCCAGAGACCCCGGUCUUUGGAAGGAAAGCUAGGCCGCAAGGUCCGGCACUCGAGGAGGAGCCUGCGUCGCAUCAGCUAGUUGGUGGGGUAACGGCCCUACCAAGGCGAAGACGCGUAGCUGGUCUGAGAGGAUGAUCAGCCCACACUGGGACUGAGACACGGCCCCAGACUCUCUACGGGAGGCAGCUAGUGGGGAAUAUUGGACUAAUGGGCGCUAAGCUCUGAUCUCAGCCCACGCCGCGUGAGUGAUGAAGGCUUUCGGGUCGUAAAGCUCUGUGGGGAGGGACGAACCGCCGGAUGUGCAUAGCUAUCCGGCUUGACGGUACUCU
rnacentral:rRNA from 1 species